UAGGGAAUAUUGGACAAUGGGCGCAAGCCUGAUCCAGCCAUGCCGCGUGGGUGAUGAAGGCCCUAGGGUUGUAAAGCCCUUUCGGCGGGGAAGAUAAUGACGGUACCCGCAGAAGAAGCCCCGCUAACUUCGUGCCAGCAGCCGCGGUAAUACGAAGGGUGCUAGCGUUGUUCGGAAUUACUGGGCGUAAAGAGCGCGUAGGCGGUCAUACAAGUCAGGGGUGAAAUCCCGGAGCUAACUCGAACUGCCUUGAAACUGCUUAAUGA
rnacentral:rRNA from 1 species